GCUGUGGUGCAGGUGGCCGAAGGGGGCGUUACUGUUGCGACUGGCAUCCGCAUCCGGCAGAUGUAGAUGGAACCAAAGUCCAGAAGUUACGCGUCACCCUUGCUCUACAGCCAAACAUGCAGGACUCUAGUAACCCGCGAAAUGAUGGGAUAGCGUUGCAAAUCCUUAAAAGAGUCUUAACGGAGAAGGGAAAAUGUUACAUUGUCAAAGUCCCAAAGCCUUUCAGCCUGAAGCCAGGAACAAUUGUUCAAAGUUUCUUUGGAACAUCAAGGAAGGAAAUCCAGAUUUUACUUUAAGUGCAAUGGGGAGUCAUUAAGGAUUUUGUGUAGAUACAGCAAAAAGACAACAAUCUUCAAGCCACAAUGGCCCUCACCAGAACCCAGCCAUGUGGUCAGCCUGAUCUCGGACUUCACAGCCAGCAGAACUGUUUGUCAAAGAUCAGAUGGUUUCCUUAAGCUGAUAAGCAACUUCAACAAAGUCUCAGGAUACAAAAUCAAUGUGCAAAAAUCAUAAGCAUUCUUAUACACCAAUAACAGACAAACAGCCAAAUCAUGAGUGAACUUCCAUUCAUAAUUGCACAAAGAGAAUCAAAUACCUAGGAAUCCAGCUUACAAGGGAUGUGAAGGACCUCUUCAAGGAGAACUACAAACCACUGCUCAAUGAAAUAAAAGGGGACACAAACAAAUGGAAGAACAUUCCAUGCUCAUGGUUAGGAAGAAUCAAUAUCGUGAAAAUGGCCAUACUGCCCAAGAUAAUUUAUAGAUUCAAUGCCAUCCCCAUCAAGCUACCAAUGACUUUCUUCACAGAAUUGGAAGAAACUACGUUAAAGUUCAUAUGGAACCAGAAAAGAGCCUGCACUGCCAAGACAACCCUAAGCAAAAAGAACAAAGCUGGAGGCAUCAUGCCACCUGACUUCAAACUAUACUACAAGGCUACAGUAACCAAAGCAGCAUGGUACUGGUACCAAAACAGAGAUAUAGACCAACGGAACAGAACAGAGGCCUCAGAAAUAACACCACGCAUCUACAGUCUAUGGUAUUUUACUAUGGAAGCCCACCCUAAGAUUUCAAUUUAGCUUCCAUGUAGUUCCCUGGUGCUUGGCAAUCUCCUGACUCACUACCUUGUCACAUGGUCUAUCCCAAGUCAGUCCUUCUCCUCUUCCCAUAUCCCCCUACUCCAAUAUUCACCCAUAUGUGGCCAAGUCUUCCUCCACCUGAGCUCCUUGCAGAGGAAUGAACAAUUGUUUGAACAUUAAUGAAUAUUAAACUCUUGGGUUGAUAGCUUAUGGCAGUGAUAGUCAAGUGUAUCACGCCGUGAAGUCAACUGUUUGAAAAUUAACCUGAGAAGUAAUGGCAAGCCCUCCUGCUAUCACCCCCCUUGAGCCCACCUGUCCUACAGAGGUGUCCAUGCCAGCUGACUCCACCAAGACUGACCCUCUGCCAUCCUCUCCUGAGUGCUGAGUAAGAAGGAAUUCAGCUUUAGUACGACUAUCCCAGAGAGACUACUAAACAAGUUCACUACAGUGCACGAAAAUCCAGCUUUGGAGAAACUUCUGACCAGCAAGUCAGAAGUUUCAAAGAAAACUUCUUUGGUUUCAAAGAAAAAUCUAGGAAAAGAUACUGAGGAGUCUGUGAAUAGAUGGAGUGGAGUGAGCUAGUAGAUGGUGAAGGCGCUGCUCACGAAAGAAACAGAGGUGGUGCCCAGGUCUUCAGAAUCUGAGUGACGACACUGGACACAAACUACUCACUGACUGGGGAGCAGCUGAGAAGCCUAGCAAAUCCUGGCUUAUCCCCCGAGAAUGUUCCAGCAGAGGAAAAGAAGUGCAGAAAGGAAGAACUGGGAAGUGAUGUUGGCCCAGGCAGAUUCUAACCCUCUAAGUUCCACAGUCUACAAGCAAGAGUGCAUUAAGGCCCACAUAGACUGCAUUCUCUGUGAUUCCAGUGAUAACUUAAGGAAAGCUUCCUGCUGACUCAAAAGGAUUUUUCUUCUUCUGAACUCCUAUUAUGGGAAUGGAUGAAAUCACUUACAGAGCCACAGAAGGAAACAAAGCAAAGCCAGGAUCAUGAGUUGGAUUAUCUGGAGGCCUAGGCCAAUGGGGAGUUAUUGCUUGCAGUCACUGAUCAAGCAAAUAAACUUUUCCUUCUUUCUUAUGAAAUUUAUUUAAGAAGCUGAAAUUACUUAAAUGAUAAUGAGUUGUGAGAAAAGAAUUGUAGUAGAUAUUUGUUCUCUAUCCAAAUUGCACUGAGUGGGGAGGUGUACCCAUACCCCAGCUUCGAGAAUUGACUGAUAACAGUUCACACCUGCACUUCUCCAGAGAAUUGUCCUUGUCUGACCUGAGCACCUUGUUUAGUAAUGUCUGGUAGGCUAUGCUCCACCUUCCCUGGGCAGAUCCACUGGUCUAAGACAAACAACCCAACCCUCUAAUUUCUGGGAAGAAUCACCUCCGUGAUUAAUCUAAGCUCCAGAUCUCCCAGAGAAAUCAUGCUGAGGCUACAUUUGUGAAACUACAUUUUUAUCUAGCUUCUUCCUUUGCCCUUUCCUGCUGUCCUCACUUCCUUAUGAAUUUUUUUCUGAAAGAUCUUGAUUAAUAAAUUAUUUAAUCAAGAUCCCCCAGUCAUAAGUUCUGUGUUUUGGAAUAUA
ensembl:lncRNA UBA6-DT UBA6 divergent transcript